AUUGAACGCUGGCGACAGGCCUAACACAUGCAAGUCGAACGGUAACAGGAAGCAGCUUGCUGCUUUGCUGACGAGUGGCGGACGGGUGAGUAAUGUCUGGGAAACUGCCUGAUGGAGGGGGAUAACUACUGGAAACGGUAGCUAAUACCGCAUAACGUCGCAAGACCAAAGAGGGGGACCUUCGGGCCUCUUGCCAUCGGAUGUGCCCAGAUGGGAUUAGCUAGUAGGUGGGGUAACGGCUCACCUAGGCGACGAUCCCUAGCUGGUCUGAGAGGAUGACCAGCCACACUGGAACUGAGACACGGUCCAGACUCCUACGGGAGGCAGCAGUGGGGAAUAUUGCACAAUGGGCGCAAGCCUGAUGCAGCCAUGCCGCGUGUAUGAAGAAGGCCUUCGGGUUGUAAAGUACUUUCAGCGGGGAGGAAGGGAGUAAAGUUAAUACCUUUGCUCAUUGACGUUACCCGCAGAAGAAGCACCGGCUAACUCCGUG
rnacentral:rRNA from 1 species